CCCUAUUUGCUGAAUUGCAUACGACAAUCCUUGCUAUUGAGAUAGCUCAUCACAAAGGUUGGAAGAACCUUUGGCUGGAAUGUGACUCAACAUUGGUGGUUAGUAUUUUCAAAGGGUCAAUCAAUCCUCCUUGGCAAUUACAUAACAGAUUUGUUAGAUGCAAGCUUCUCUUGGGUAAUAUGAAUUUCAGCAUCUCUCACAUAUUCA
rnacentral:lncRNA from 1 species